rnacentral:rRNA from 1 species
CCUACGGGGGGCUGCAGUGGGGAAUAUUGGACAAUGGGGCAACCCUGAUCCAGCCAUGCCGCGUGUGUGAAGAAGGCCCUCGGGUUGUAAAGCACUUUCAGUGAGGAAGAACGCCUGGUGGUUAAUACCCAUCAGGAAAGACAUCACUCACAGAAGAAGCACCGGCUAACUCCGUGCCAGCAGCCGCGGUAAUACGGAGGGUGCGAGCGUUAAUCGGAAUUACUGGGCGUAAAGCGCGCGUAGGUGGCUUGAUAAGCCGGUUGUGAAAGCCCCGGGCUCAACCUGGGAACGGCAUCCGGAACUGUCAAGCUAGAGUGCAGGAGAGGAAGGUAGAAUUCCCGGUGUAGCGGUGAAAUGCGUAGAGAUCGGGAGGAAUACCAGUGGCGAAGGCGGCCUUCUGGACUGACACUGACGCUGAGGUGCGAAAGCGUGGGUAGCAAACAGGAUUAGAUACCCCUGUAGUC